GUGGAGCUAGGUGGGUCUGAGUGUGGAAAUAGCCUGGGAGGAGUGGAGCCAAGAGAUGGAUCCUGAUGGCAGUGUAAACUGAGUCAAGUCACAGAUGAAGCAACCUUGAACCUAGGAAAAUGUCAUAAGAAAGUUUGUCACAGCUCGGUGUUUGAUGUUGAUCCAGGUUACCUCUUGAUAGUCUGAGAAUGGACAUCUCUCAAGCUAUUAUCCCUUCUCGGUGCAUUCUCAAUGGGGGAAGAUGUUGU